AACGAACGCUGGCGGCAUGCCUAACACAUGCAAGUCGAACGAGACCUUCGGGUCUAGUGGCGCACGGGUGCGUAACGCGUGGGAACCUGCCCUUAGGUUCGGAAUAACUCCCCGAAAGGGGUGCUAAUACCGGAUAAGGUCUUCUGACCAAAGAUUUAUCGCCUUGGGAUGGGCCCGCGUUGGAUUAGAUAGUUGGUAGGGUAAAAGCCUACCAAGGCGACGAUCCAUAGCUGGUCUGUGAGGAGGAUCAGCCACCCUGGGACUGAGACACGGCCCAGACUCCUACGGGAGGCAGCAGUGGGGGAUAUUGGACCAUGGGCGGAAGCCUGAUCCAGCAAUGCCCGGUGAGUGAUGAAAGCCUUAGGGUUGUAAAGCUCUUUUACCCGGGAUGAUAAUGACAGUACCGGGAGAAUAAGCUCCGGCUAACUCCGUG
rnacentral:rRNA from 1 species